rnacentral:lncRNA from 10 species
UGGAUGGGUGGAUGGGUGGAUGGAUAGAUAAAUGGAUGAGUGGAUGGAUUAAUGGAUGGAUAGAUGGUGGGAUGGGGGAUGGAAGUAGAGAUAGAUUGAUGGAGAGAGGAACAAAGGUAUGAAUAGAUGGAUGAUGGACAGAUGGAUGAAUGGAAAACUGAAUGGAUAAAUGGAAGGAGAGAGAAAUGGGCGGAGAAACAGAUGGACGGAUAUACUUCCUAUGUACUAAAUUGUGUCCCUCUGAGUUCUCCUCUGUUCUCUGAGUGAUUGACACCAAUGACCAUCUCCCUUUUCUUCCUAAGACUCUGUUCCCCUUUGGCUUUUCAAGGCCCUUUGCUGGGUUCUCCAACUCUCCAACUUCUAAGUCCUCUUCAGACACCUCCACCACACACCUGGUGCUCCCGAGAUUCAGCCUUUGGUCCAUUUCUCUUCUCACCCACUUUCUCUAGAGGAACAAAUCUUACCAAGCAUCUUUAACAACAACCUCUAUGUGAAUGAUUGUAACCCCACCCCUAUAUCCCAGCCCCUUCUCUGAGAUUUAGUCAUGUUUUAAAUGUAUUCAUUCAGUAAAGAUUUAGUCAGUACCCUCCAUGGUGUCCAGUGGGUCUCCCAAAUUCCUGUCCUGUUCUUGUGGGACUCUGCGCUCAUCGCUUCUCAUGGGUCAACUGCAAGAGCUUCCUAACUUGAUCGCAGCCACUAUCUCUACCACUCCAACUCUGCCUCCAUGUUGCUCCCACCUGGGAGCUCUCUGAUGCUCUCCUAAACCUUUGAUGGAUAAAAUCCAGCACCCCUCUGACACAGGAGGCCCCAAUAUCUUGCCUUUCUAUGGCACCGAGUUUUCUUCCUCUGACGCCAUGACAGUCCCCAAGGCCCCUUCUUCCCACCUCAACCACUGUGUCCCCUCCAAACUAAGCUCCCCUUCUUCUGCUUCACUUCCCUGCUCCUUGUCCACCAAGGCCUGAUCUGAACAUGGCUCCUGAGACCCUCUGCUGUGACACUGCUUCCCCAAAGAAAUACAGGCUCUCUGUUUGGGCCUCCUAGGUGGAUUCCAUUCCAUUCCUUUUCCAUCCGCAUUCACACUCGAAGACGAUAAAAGAUGGUCUGGUGCCAUGAGUCCAUCUGUCCACAAUGAUCAACACAAUAUGCAAAUGCAAAGACAAGGAGUCCCUGCUUUUUUCUCUCUCUGAGCCAAGAGUGGAAAAAGUGAUUGGUAGGACUUGGGCAGGUGAAGAAAGACGUGCUGAGGAAAACGAGGCAGAGACCCUGAGCUUGGGCAGAUGCAGGGAGGGGACCAGCUGGAGAGAGGGAGAACAGGGAGUAAAACUAGACAGGGACAGGCUCCAGCAGGGGCAGACAAAUGGCUUCACACCCACCUCUGCCAACAGAGAGAUAAUGAAUGAGAGAGAAGGCAGGUCAUAGCUGGGCAGGUCAUAGCUGGCUCCUGCCUGGUCCAGGGCUCAGGUUACCUCUGAGAGCCCGAGCUGAUAGAGCUCUGCUGCUGCUGAGUGGAGCUGAAGGGCCACACAUGCACAUCAGGAGGUGGCGCAGGCAGAAGGGGCACUCUGGAAGAGCCAGCAGGAAGGUGCCCCUCCCCAUGGGAUGGAGUCAAAGAACACCAGGGUGGGCAGCAGCAGAUGUCAGAGAACCUGCUUGCCCUUCUCUCAGGGUCUUGAUGAAUCUGCUGUAGGCACAUAGGAGUCCAGCGGCCCCCAGAGCAGACAGGGUAGCAGGCAGCUCGUGCAGGUGGGGCAUAUUAAAAACGAGCCAUUCAGCACUCCGAAUGCAUUGCUAAAGACACCCAUGUAAUCAUUUGAAAUGAAAACUGCUCAAAUGAACUGGAAAAUGUUUUACUUGUAUUUUCUCAUAUUCUAGAAACUUUCUUUCCAUGGUUCAAAAGUUUGCAUUGUCUAAUUGCUGAUUUCCAUUUGUGAAUGAAUCAGCGUAAAAUAAAAUUAAGUGCCAAAUUAAUCUACCCAUCUAGUUUUAGGCAUUAAUUAUCCUCUGAGCCAUUUUCUCCUGCGCUUGCUGCAUGUCAAGGCAAGCCCGGAUAUAGUGAUGUGGGAUCCAGUUUUUGACUCAGGAAUUUAAGCCCAAACAGUAGAGGAUGUCCUUGAUCUCUAAGAUCCACAGUUUAUUGUGUGAAGGGGGUCUCAUUCCAGGCAAACGAAACACAUUUCUCACCUUUUAAAGGUGCACUAACACUGUCAGACCAAAUAAAUUAUGGGAGCAGAAAUUCGCUGCAUGGUUUUAUGACACGUUCCCCAGUUGCCUGAUCGACCAACUAACAACAUUACAUUUCCUCUAAGUGUCACGGGGUCACCCCCAGUGUGGCAAAUGUGGGGCUGACAAGGGCAGAAUUUUGGAAAUUGCAUGUGCUGUUCUCCUGGAGCUGUGCCAAGGGAGGCCUUCUUGGUUCUGCUAAAAAUCCCCCAGGCCUCCAAGAUACAAUGAUAGGGUCCUUGAUCCCUGGGGAAUGGUAGAACCAUAUAUGGUGAUUUCAUCAAAGCCACCACUCUUGGAGACUACGGGGACAGAGAGUUGGACACCAGGAAGAACAAGUGUAUCAUAUCUCCAGCAGGGUCAAGAGAACCUUGGGGACUGAGGACAUAGAGCCGCUGACCAAUUUCCUUUUGAGGUUCAGCAUUAUCAGAAUCUUUCUAAAAGGAGUGAGAUACCCUUGACCCAGCACUGUUGGCAAAGAGGAAUGCAAAUGUAACAUUCAAUUUCCAACUCUUGGGAGGCUGAGGCAGGAGGAUCACUCCAGGCCAGGAGCCCAAGAGCGGCCUGGGCAACAUAGCAAGACCCUGUCUCUAAAAAUAAUUAAUUAAUUAAUUAAAAGAAAUUAGCCAGGCAUGGUAGCAUGCACCUGUAGUCCCAGCUACAUGGGAGGCUGAGAUGAGGGGAUCGCUAGAGCCCAGGAGUUAGAGGCUACAGAGAGCCUCAACUGCAACACUGCACUCCAGCCUAGGUAACAGAAUGAGACUCUGUCUCUAAAAAAUAAUAAUUAAAUAAAAGAAAAAAGAGAAGCAUUCAAUUCUACCUAGUAACAUACUGCCAGAAAACGUAGAGCGUGGACUACUGGUGUUCAAGGUGGAGGGCUGGCCCUGAUUGGAACCCCUUAGGAUGUAGCUCCCCAGAGCAAAAUGUCAUGCUUUGGAAACAAUGGCUGCAUAGCGACCCCAUGUGGCAGCAGCUAAAGCUACCGGCAAGCGGGCGGCUUCGCAGGCUUGGGGGUCCCUCUUUGCUUGGCACUGGAAGCAGAAGGCGUUUUGGAGUCUACCUCUGUGGUUCUUCGAUGGAAACAUGAGGGAGCAUGCCCAAGGGGAAGGUGCUGGACCGCCUGGUAAUGAAGAAUAGCUGAGGUACCUGAGCUGUUAAUUAAAACAGUAAAGAGAGAGGAACAUAUUUGUGGCACCUGAGCCAGCGCUCAGACAGGAGGGAAAGUAUAAGUUUAAAUUACACAGAUUUGCAUCAGGCACAAAAGGUUAUGCUUCCAUUCGGCCCAAACCAGUCCUGACAUCCUUCCAGGCACUAAGAAAAGCAACCAGAGGAAACCUGGCAGGGGAGGCACUGCUUCGGGGGAAGACUGUGAGGCUUUGAAAUUCCAUCACACCCUUCUAAUAAUACCUCUGCAUUUGCUUUUCUGUAGACAAGCUUGGAGGCCCAAACAGUCAGGCUCUGACUCUCCCCAACUACCUCAAGGGGAAAGGAAUCUGUCAGCUUCCCUAAAAUGGAAAAGGAAAAAGGAAAACAAAGUCAAACGGAAAAGCUAAUGUUGCUUCCCAUCUGUUUGAAGGCAUGAGGCGGAAGAGAGACAGGUUCUGUGCAGAGGCACUGUCGGACCCUGGGGAAGGAAACCUGUAGGCCCUGAGUUGGAAAAUAUUAAAUUCAGGGAGCUUUUAAUGAGCUUGAACAGCUCUUUGAUGGUUGCUGAUGUUAAGAUGGAAAUGGAGCAUUUGAAAGUGUGAGCUUUCGAAGAAUAUGGUUUUUAGGAAGCAAGUUUCCCUCUUGCCAUCCCUUCCCUUUGGGGCUAUUCAAAUGAGACCUCAAGUCAUCACAUCAGUGGUGAGGUUAGGGUUAUAGCAACUGUAAUGUGAGACCCAAAGAACCUCCAGCUCCAGCUAGUACCAGCUGCUACUCUGGGUAGAACAACAACGGCCUCACAGAGAUGGAUUGAGAAGGGAUGGGAUAAAAGGCAUAAAAUUAAAGACAAGAGUAAUAAAAUCUGAUGGAAGCAAACACUGCUAGCCAACCUAGCAGCUCAAAUUAUAUUUAGCACCUCUGAGAGGGAGGGGGUAAUCAUGAGUAAUAAAUCCAGGCUCUGGAAAGAAAUUAUGGGCUAAAUCACUUGACAAUGGGUAACACCAGGGAAGUCACGGAUUCACCUUCCCAGGAAAGGCUCAAGACAGUGUAUAAAACCCAUCAAUCACACUGAGACAAAUUUCACUGGGUAGGGCCCCAGGACAGUCUAGAUCUGGAUUCCUAAACAGCCUCUGAGCUUCUCCCAGAGCCAGAAACGUGGCAGCAGCACAGACACGCCACUAGUCCCACCAUCCAGCCCAGGGAUCCUUCACCCCACUGCAUGGUGGCUGCUGUCCACUCCAGGAAGAUCGGGCAAAGUCAAUACAUAGACAAGGGCUGUCUGCUUCCUGUUGUACAUUUCUGUGCCGUCAGCUGAGUCCACUCCCUGCUAUCAGGGAUGUCACAAACAGUUCCUGAAACUUGUUCCUUCCUCAGCCUGAGGCCCUAGACAUCACCUAAACCAUCCUGUUAUCUGCAGGUUCCUCCCAUCGCCUCCCCCAGAGCCCUCUAAGUUCUCAACUCCCAGCUAUUCUCACUACAGCUUAGCAGGAAAGCAAUUUGAUCUAAUGAAUUCUCACCAACCCUCAAAGGAUACUCUCUUUUUAGAAGAACAAGCCAGAGAAUGCAAAUUAUCUGCUCAAUAUGGGCUUUCUCAAUAUGUGUGGGGGAGGUCUCAGACCUUCUCUGGCCAUCUUGUGUAAGAUAAACCUGGGAGAACAGGAAGGAAAGGCUCCAUCACCACCACCUCUCCCACCUCCCAGCCAUCGUUCAAUAGAUGGAAGACUCAUCCACAGCUCCAUUUCUACCCCAUACAGCUUCCCAUCUUGAGGCAGGAACAAAAGCCCAGGUCUCCUGGCUUGGACCCAUCAGUGGACAAGAUCACAUCUUAUUAUAGAGACAGGGAGGAGCUGUCUGGCAUUAAGCCAAGUAAGACCCUAGAAAUCCAGUCCUACUCCCAGAAUGGGGAUCCCUUCUGCUUAGAGACUACAGGGGGCCAGGAAUUGGAGUUUCACAUCCAGAGAUCUUCAGGAUCUCUGCUCCAUCCCAUCGCUGGACCCCGAGCAAAGCUCCCUACAGCUUCUUGGCUGCAUUCAUUUUAUUCAUCUUCAGCAGAGGGUGCUUCGACACCCUAAUUGAUUGGCUUCCCCAGGUUCCUGGCUUGCUGAGGCUCUGCCUCUUUCUCAGGACCCUUCUGGCACACCCAUCCCUGCUCCUAGCCCACAGCUAAGAGGGCCUCAAUGAAACAGGGGCUUGGAAGUGAGGAAGGGUCCUUGUAUUGCAUUGCUGGAACACCUGUUUCUUCCCAAGAUGCAAACUCAGUUCAUAAGACGCUUGGUCAUCCGAGUCCUUCCUCAUACAGCAGGUCACUUGCUUCCAACUUUUUUUAGAAAGGAGGAGAAACAUUACUCCCAAAAAGUCUUCAGCAUGAGAGGGUUAUACAGAUGACAAGGACUUACAGUUUUCUUUGGUCAUUAUUACAGCUGGUUUAAGGAAAGAGUGGGUUCCCAUUCUACCAGAAUAAAACUUAAGUUGAACAGAAACUCAGAAUCUUCAACAUCACAGACAUUAUUUUUUCUGCUCUUGGCUUUUUAGAAACGGGGAACCAAUAGGAAACAAGUACAUGGUCAUAAACCCAUCUGCUUGUCCACUGGCUUAGCAUAUAUUGAGGGCUUCUACCUGGGGACAAAGUACAGCUGUUUUUCAAUAUGAUACCCCAAAUCUACCUGCUUCGAUCAGCAAUUGAAUUCAACACUAAGUUCUGGGAAGGACACACAUGAAAUGGUUAACAGUGACUGCCUGAAGCUUGGGGGUGAAUGGGAGCAGAGUGAAGGGUAACUUUAUCUUUU